rnacentral:rRNA from 1 species
ACGAGGGGGGCGAGCGUUGUUCGGAAUUAUUGGGCGUAAAGGGUGCGUAGGCGGUUUGGUAAGUCUUGUGUGAAAUCUAUGGGCUCAACUCAUAGUCUGCACGAGAAACUGCCGGGCUUGAGUAUGGGAGAGGUGAGUGGAAUUUCCGGUGUAGCGGUGAAAUGCGUAGAUAUCGGAAGGAACACCUGUGGCGAAAGCGGCUCACUGGACCAUAACUGACGCUGAUGCACGAAAGCUAGGGGAGCAAACAGGAUUAGAUACCCUGGUAGUCCUAGCCCUAAACGAUGACUGCUUGGUGUGACGGGUACCCAAUCCCGCCGUGCCGUAGCUAACGCGUUAAGCAGUCCGCCUGGGGAGUACGGUCGCAAGGCUG